UGGUGGAAUGAUCUGUCUGGUUAAUUCCGUUAACGAGCAAGACCUUGACUUGUUAACUAGUUAUGUCCACCAGUGGGUAGGGAAAUUAAACUCUUCUCACAAUUCUUCUUGCAUUCUCGUUCGCGCGAGGGUGUGAGGGGUUUUGUGUGGGUAGAGAUACUUCUUAGAAGGACUCUUUACAUCCAGUAGAGGGAGGUCCAAGGCAACAACA
rnacentral:rRNA from 1 species